UACUAAUUUAAUUAUUCACCAACACCUGCGAGGUCAUUAGCGCAAGCAACUACGCCUGCUUCAAGAAACAGCCUCAAAAUCUCUCUACAUAUAAGUACUUGAUAUCAUCUCUUUGUGCAUUUCUUGGAAAAUUAUUUAAUUCCAAGCUCACGUUCAGAGCAGAAAAUAUGGUGUUCAAGUUGAACAACCAGUUGUUAUCGAAGAUAGCAACCGGAAAAGGACACGGGGAAGACUCACCGUAUUUUGAUGGAUGGAAGGCAUAUGACAACGAUCCAUAUCAUCCCACCAAGAAUCCAGAUGGAGUUAUCCAGAUGGGUCUUGCAGAGAAUCAGCUUUGCUUCGAUUUGAUUCAAGAAUGGCUCAAGAACAACCCAAAAGCCUCCAUUUGCACAACUGAAGGAGCAGAGGAAUUCAGGGACAUAGCUAUCUUUCAAGAUUACCAUGGCUUGGAAGAAUUCAGAAUUGCUAUUGCAAAGUUCAUGGCAAAAGGAAGAGGGGAUAGAGUAACGUUUGAACCUGACCGCAUUGUCAUGAGCGGAGGAGCCACCGGAGCUCAUGAGAUGAUCGCCUUCUGCUUGGCAGAUCCCGGCGAUGCAUUUUUGGUGCCAACUCCUUAUUAUCCUGGAUUCGAUCGAGACUUGAGAUGGAGAACAGGAGUUCAACUUUUUCCAGUUGACUGUGAAAGCUCUAACCACUUCAAGAUUACAAGAGAAGCCUUAGAAUACGCUUAUGAGAUGGCACAAUUAGACAACAUCAGAGUAAAGGGCUUGCUUAUAACCAAUCCAUCAAAUCCUUUAGGUACAAUCUUAGAUAGGGAAACGCUAAAAAGCAUUGUCAACUUCAUCAAUGAGAAGAACAUCCAUUUAGUCUGCGAUGAGAUCUACGCGGCCACAGUUUUCAGCCAGCCUGAAUUUGUUAGCAUUUCAGAGAUAAUAGAGGAAGAGGUGGAGUGCAAUCUUGAUCUUAUCCACAUUGUUUACAGCCUCUCUAAGGAUAUGGGAUUCCCUGGAUUUAGAGUAGGAAUUGUUUACUCUUAUAAUGAUGCAGUUGUGAGCUGUGCUCGCAAGAUGUCAAGCUUCGGAUUAGUGUCGUCGCAGACUCAACACUUGAUUGCUUCAAUGUUAUCAGAUGAUGAAUUUGUAGACAAUUUCAUCAUGCAAAGCAAGAAGAGAUUAGCUUCAAGGUAUAGUAGCUUCACUAAAGGGCUUGCUCAAGUAGGGAUCAAGUGUUUAAAGACGAGCAAUGCGGGCCUUUUUGUGUGGAUGGAUUUGCGUAGGCUUCUCAAAGAGCAGACGGUUGCAGGGGAGCUUGCACUAUGGAGAGUGAUAAUUAACGAUGUCAAGCUCAAUGUUUCGCCAGGUUCUUCUUUCCAUUGCACAGAGCAAGGGUGGUUUAGAGUUUGCUUUGCAAACAUGGAUGACCAGACAGUGGAAGUUGCUUUAUCAAGAAUUAAGACAUUUAUGCUCAAGGACAAGGAAGCCAUGAUGCCAGUGAAGAAAUUACGCUGGCAGGGCAGCCUCAAACUCAGCUUCUCCUCUCGAAUAUAUGAUGAUUUCAUCAUGUCUCCCCACUCUCCUUUUCCUCAAUCUCCUCUUGUUCAAGCCAGAAAUUGAGCAUGUUUAGUGGAUCCUGACAAGCUGUCGUGGAGUAAAAAUGCAACAUAUCAAUGAUGGAAGAGGAUUCUAUUUCAUUACAGUCCAUUACAGUUCAACCAAACUAGGCACUUACAUCAGUAUAAAAUAACUUUUACCUAUUUCUAUGCAACUAAAAGAGACACGAUAAUCUUUUCUAUGUUUGAGGAUAGUCAUAGAAUUACUGCUUCCCUUUUUAUGUAUCCUUAUUCUUUUGUUGUUUGUAGCCAGUGGGAGAUUGAUGCUUGCAUGUUUUGAUAUAAUGGUUACAACCAAUGUCUAUCAUAACUCGUUUGCAAACAAAAUGUACCAUAUGUGUUUCUUUUUUUCUUUUUUCACAUGCAAAAUGUUCA
rnacentral:misc_RNA from 1 species